rnacentral:lncRNA from 1 species
CUCCAGGACAUCAGCUUGCAUCUAAGCCCUGGACAAAUUCUAGUGUCCCAGCUAAAGGAGCAGAGCAAGACAAUCCAAAGGAAGCAGGAGAAGGUGAACGUGAGGACAGAAUAGCAAGCUGGUGGGUCUACUGAAGCCUUAACAAGUCUUGUCCCAUGCUACAAGAUUUGGAAAUGUCAGGAGGUUCAAAAGCAUAACCCUCAAGCUUUGCAGGAAAAAGUAUUCCUUCUGGCACCUUAUUUCUGCACCCCAAAAAGUGACUUCAUUCCUGUGAAACAAUGGAGAGUCUCCAAAAGAGAGGAAGAGGCAGAAAGUGAAGCAAUGAAGUAAAAAAAGUAUGAAAACAUCAGGAAGAGGAGGAAGGAGUCCUGAAGAUGGAUCAUGGAGGAAAGGGUGAAGGAGGGGAAAGUGACAGGAAAGAUCAAGAAAAGAAGGGGAAAAGGGUCCUGGUGGCGAAUGCGGCUGCCUCCCCUGCAGAGAGGCUGAGCCUGGAGGGAGCAAGAAGCUCAGCUGCACCGGGCACCUGCAGGAGAAGGACUCAUCGCUCCGUGCUGGUACCGUUGUCGGCAGUGCUCUCGCCGACUGCAAGACUGGUGGAAGCAUCAAAGGGGUGCCCUUGGAAUGUGUGCCUAAUGAUGAUCAAUGAAAAUAGAAGCCCUGUUGCAGCGAGACUCAUGAGGUCCUGCUCACAGCUGGCACACGGAGGCAUGGCUGUAAAAAGAAGAUGCUGGGCAUUAGGACUGAUAGUCCCACCAGAUUCCUCCUCACCUUGGAAAACCCUUGUCUCCUCCCAGCAGGGGAGAUGGGCCGCCUGUCCUGGUGUGGAUAGUGGUGUGCCAGCCAGAUGCUCUGCGAGCAGAUGCUUUGCCUCCUAG